ACGAACGCUGGCGGCGUGCCUCAUACAUGCAAGUUGAGCGCUGAAGGUUGGUACUUGUACCACCUGGAUGAGCAGCGAACGGGUGAGUAACGCGUGGGGAAUCUGCCUUUGAGCGGGGGACAACAUUUGGAAACGAAUGCUAAUACCGCAUGAAAACUUUAAACACAAGUUUUAAGUUUGAAAGAUGCAAUUGCAUCACUCAAAGAUGAUCCCGCGUUGUAUUAGCUAGUUGGUGAGGUAAAGGCUCACCAAGGCGAUGAUACAUAGCCGACCUGAGAGGGUGAUCGGCCACAUUGGGACUGAGACACGGCCCAAACUCCUACGGGAGGCAGCAGUAGGGAAUCUUCGGCAAUGGACGAAAGUCUGACCGAGCAGCGCCGCGUGAGUGAAGAAGGGUUUCGGAUCGUAAAACUCUGUUGGUAGAGAAGAACGUUGGUGAGAGUGGAAAGCUCAUCAAGUGACGGUAACUACCCAGAAAGGGACGGCUAACUACGUG
rnacentral:rRNA from 1 species